AACGAACGCUGGCGGCAUGCCUAACACAUGCAAGUCGAACGAGACCUUCGGGUCUAGUGGCGCACGGGUGCGUAACGCGUGGGAACCUGCCCUUAGGUUCGGAAUAACUCCCCGAAAGGGGUGCUAAUACCGGAUAAUGUCUUCGGACCAAAGAUUUAUCGCCUUUGGAUGGGCCCGCGUUGGUUUAGCUAGUUGGUAGGGUAAAAGCCUACCAAGGCGACGAUCCAUAGCUGGUCUGAGAGGAUGAUCAGCCACACUGGGACUGAGACACGGCCCAGACUCCUACGGGAGGCAGCAGUGGGGAAUAUUGGACUAUGGGCGAAGGCAUGAUCCAGCAAUGCCGCGUGAGUGAUGAAGGCCUGAGGGUUGUAAAGCUCUCUUACCCGGGAUGAUAAUGACAGUACCGGGAGAAUAAGCACCGGCUAACUCCGUG
rnacentral:rRNA from 1 species